rnacentral:tRNA from 1 species
GCGAGGAUGGCGGAAUCUGGCAGACGCACUGGAUUUAGGAUCCAGUGGAUAAAAUCCGUGGGGGUUCAACUCCCCCUCCUCGCA